rnacentral:lncRNA from 1 species
GUGGCUGCGCUUGCGAGGACCCUGAGGUAGAUUGGGUGGUUUCAACAGGAACGCAUCCACUGUCUGAGAGUUUAAACUUGAUUUUGUGAGGGGACGAACAGCGUGACAAUUAAAAGAAGAUCUGGGAAUCAAAAGCUUCCUGAGGCCUUCACCAGAAGCAGAUGCUGGUGCCGUGCUUCUACAGCCUGCAGAACUAAGAGAAGACAUGGAGAAGAGGAGGGAGUAGUUGUGACCGUGGAGGCAGAGAAUGGAGUAAUGUGAUCAUAAAUCAAGGAAUGCUGACAGCCACUAAAGCUGGAGAAGGCCAAGGACAGAUAUUCAAUCCUCCCGUAGAAGUACAGCCCUGCUAAUGCAUUGAUUUUGGACUUCUGGCCUCAGAACUGUCUGGAAAGCAUGGAAAUUUGUAUCUUCAUUCACUUUUGUUUUCAUGGACUCUUUUCAUGUUUGAACUUUUCAUGGUAUGAGCUGUUUUAUAAUCUAUAAUAUGGAAUGUUUCUCAUACGAAUGUUUUUCUUAUUGAAGAAUGCCAUAGAAAUAAGGGUGUGAGGUAUACUUACUUGACAGGAGAAU